rnacentral:rRNA from 1 species
AUUGAGCGCUGGCGGCAUGCUUUACACAUGCAAGUCGAACGGUAACAGGCCUUCGGGUGCUGACGAGUGGCGAACGGGUGAGUAAUGCAUCGGAACGUGCCCAGAGGUGGGGGAUAACGCAGCGAAAGCUGUGCUAAUACCGCAUGUGAUCUGAGGAUGAAAGCGGGGGACCAGGCAGCAAUGUUUGGCCUCGCGCCUUUGGAGCGGCCGAUGUCAGAUUAGGUAGUUGGUGGGGUAAAGGCCUACCAAGCCGACGAUCUGUAGCUGGUCUGAGAGGACGACCAGCCACACUGGGACUGAGACACGGCCCAGACUCCUACGGGAGGCAGCAGUGGGGAAUUUUGGACAAUGGGCGCAAGCCUGAUCCAGCAAUGCCGCGUGCGGGAAGAAGGCCUUCGGGUUGUAAACCGCUUUUGUACGGAACGAAAAGGCUCUGGCUAAUACCUGGGGCUGAUGACGGUACCGUAAGAAUAAGCACCGGCUAACUACGUG